rnacentral:lncRNA from 1 species
UAAUAAUCACCUCAACGGCAACCAAUCAGCGUGGAGAGUUUUCAAUAACCACCUAUGUAAUUAUACUAACAUUGUAUAAUCCAAAUACUUCAAAUACAUUCAUUUCUUAAAAGGUCCAGUAGUGGAUCCAGCAAGAUUUCUCUAGGGGAGGGGGGGGGGAGGGGGUGCUGGGCGAGCAGCCAAGCAUACCGAACCUAGCUUACUGGCCAACAGUGUACUGAUACAACAUUGAAUAAACAUAAUUUUAUAAUUAUAUAUUCUCCAAUUCUGGUCAUACUGUUGUGUGAAAGAGAAACUUC